rnacentral:rRNA from 1 species
GACGAACGCUGGCGGCGUGCUUAACACAUGCAAGUCGAACGGAAAGGCCCCUUUGGGGGUACUCGAGUGGCGAACGGGUGAGUAACACGUGAGUAACCUGCCCUUGACUUCGGGAUAACUUCAGGAAACUGGGGCUAAUACCGGAUAGGAAUCCUUGCUGCAUGGUGGGGGUUGGAAAGCUUCGGCGGUUUUGGAUGGACUCGCGGCUUAUCAGCUUGUUGGUGGGGUAGUGGCUUACCAAGGCUUUGACGGGUAGCCGGCCUGAGAGGGCGACCGGCCACAUUGGGACUGAGGUACGGCCCAGACUCCUACGGGAGGCAGCAGUGGGGAAGAUUGCACGAUGGGCGGAAGCCUGAUGCAGCAACGCCGCGUGCGGGAUGACGGCCUUCGGGUUGUAAACCGCUUUCAGCAGGGGCGAAGCUUGUGGUGACGGUACCUGCAGAAGAAGCACCGGCUAACUACGUG